rfam:Salmo salar isolate Sally breed double haploid chromosome ssa29, whole genome shotgun sequence.
UGCAUGCACUACUGUAAGUCACUUUGGAUAAAAGGGUUUGCUAAACGUCAUAUG